CCUACGGGAGGCAGCAGCGGGGAAUUUUGCGCAAUGGGCGAAAGCCUGACGCAGCGACGCCGCGUGGGGGAUGAAGGCUUUCGGGUCGUAAACCCCUUUUGUCGGGGAAGAAACUGGACGGUACCCGACGAAUAAGCCACGGCUAACUACGUGCCAGCAGCCGCGGUAAUACGUAGGUGGCAAGCGUUGUCCGGAUUUACUGGGCGUAAAGGGCGCGUAGGCGGUUUGUUAAGUCCGGUGUAAAAUCUCCUGGCUCAACUGGGAGGGCGCGCUGGAUACUGGCAGACUAGAGGGGGGCAGAGGAAGGCGGAAUUCCCGGUGUAGCGGUGAUAUGCGUAGAUAUCGGGAGGAACACCAGUGGCGAAGGCGGCCUUCUGGGCCCAUCCUGACGCUGAGGCGCGAAAGCGUGGGGAGCAAACCGGAUUAGAUACCCCUGUAGU
rnacentral:rRNA from 1 species